rnacentral:lncRNA from 1 species
UUAAGUAAGGGUUCCCAUCUCUAAAAAAAAAGAAUAUGUUAAUCGUUACCGAUACCAGGCAGAGUUGCUUUUCCUUGCUCCAGAGGAGAUUGGUAUUGGUAGAGUCGCAUUCAACCCCGUCUUUUUGCCCUUUGGCUGGUAAUCACAUCGGCCAUAAGGUGGUCUAUCACCUCGGUUGGGGAGAAAAGCUUUUUUGUUGUUAUUCUUCAUCAUAAGCUAAUUCCUUUGCCCUCUAGUAGCAACAUGCAACGCUUUCAAGAGUAAGUUUCCGGAAGAAAGACGGUCGUGUGCGAGUCGGCUGGGAAAACACAAGCUUAACACGUCUUUCUUUAUCCCUUGCUCUAGAGGAGAUUGGUAUUGGUAGAGUCGCAUUCAACCCCGUCUUUUUGCCCUUUGGCUGGUAAUCACAUCGGCCAUAAGGUGGUCUAUUACCUCGGUUGGGGAGAAAAGCUUUUUUGUUGUUAUUCUUCAUCAUAAGCUAAUUCCUUUGCCCUCUAGUAGUAACAUGCAACGCUUUCAAGAGUAAGUUUCCGGAAGAAAGACAGUCGUGUGUGAGUCGGCUGGGAAAACACAAGCUUAACACGUCUUUCUUUAUCUUUUUCAUAUCUGAAUGUCUUUGUCGAGUUGGUUGGCAUCAUUCGC